AGUGAACGCUGGCGGUAGGCCUAACACAUGCAAGUCGAACGACAGCACAGUAAGAGCUUGCUCUUACGGGUGGCGAGUGGCGGACGGGUGAGGAAUACAUCGGAAUCUACUUUUUCGUGGGGGUUAACGUAGGGAAACUUACGCUAAUACCGCAUACGACCUACGGGUGAAAGCAGGGGAUCUUCGGACCUUGCGCGAUUGAAUGAGCCGAUGUCGGAUUAGCUAGUUGGCGGGGUAAAGGCCCACCAAGGCGACGAUCCGUAGCUGGUCUGAGAGGAUGAUCAGCCACACUGGAACUGAGACACGGUCCAGACUCCUACGGGAGGCAGCAGUGGGGAAUAUUGGACAAUGGGCGCAAGCCUGAUCCAGCCAUACCGCGUGGGUGAAGAAGGCCUUCGGGUUGUAAAGCCCUUUUGUUGGGAAAGAAAAGCAGCAGGUUAAUACCCCGCUGUUCUGACGGUACCCAAAGAAUAAGCACCGGCUAACUUCGUG
rnacentral:rRNA from 1 species